rnacentral:rRNA from 1 species
GUGUGGAAUUUUCCGCAAUGGGCGAAAGCCUGACGGAGCAAUGCCGCGUGAAGGAUGAAGGCCUAUGGGUUGUAAACUUCUUUUCUCAGAAAAGAAUUAUGACGGUAUCUGAGGAAUAAGCAUCGGCUAACUCUGUGCCAGCAGCCGCGGUAAGACAGAGGAUGCAAGCGUUAUCCGGAAUGAUUGGGCGUAAAGCGUCUGUAGGUUGUUUAAAAAGUAUUCUGUCAAAGAUUAGGGCUUAACCCUAGAUAGGCAGAAUAAACUUUUAAGCUAGAGUUUGGUAGAGGCAGAGGGAAUUCCCGGUGGAGCGGUGAAAUGCGUAGAUAUCGGGAGGAACACCAAAGGCGAAGGCACUCUGCUGGGCCAAUACUAACACUGAGAGACGAAAGCGAGGGGAGCAAAUGGGAUUAGAAACCCGGGUAGUCC